rnacentral:rRNA from 1 species
AUUGAACGCUGGCGGCAUGCUUUACACAUGCAAGUCGAACGGUAACAGGGAGCUUGCUCCGCUGACGAGUGGCGAACGGGUGAGUAAUGCGUCGGAACGUGCCGAGUAGUGGGGGAUAACGCAUCGAAAGGUGUGCUAAUACCGCAUACGUACUGAGGUAGAAAGUGGGGGACCUUCGGGCCUCACGCUAUUCGAGCGGCCGACGUCUGAUUAGCUAGUUGGUGAGGUAAAGGCUCACCAAGGCGACGAUCAGUAGCGGGUCUGAGAGGAUGAUCCGCCACACUGGGACUGAGACACGGCCCAGACUCCUACGGGAGGCAGCAGUGGGGAAUUUUGGACAAUGGGCGCAAGCCUGAUCCAGCCAUGCCGCGUGUCUGAAGAAGGCCUUCGGGUUGUAAAGGACUUUUGUCCGGGAGCAAAUGCCUGGUGUUAGUAGCAUCGGGAGCUGAGAGUACCGGAAGAAUAAGCACCGGCUAACUACGUGCCAGCAGCCGCUGUAACAC